AUCGAACCUGCCUCAUACUCGGGGAUAGCCUUGCGAAAGUAAGAUUAAUACCCGGCGGUCUCGGAUGGCCGCAUGACUGUCCGAGUGAAGAUUUAUCGGUAUGAGAUGGCGAUGCGUCCCAUUAGCUAGUUGGUGAGGUAAUGGCUCACCAAGGCAUCGAUGGGUAGGGGUUCUGAGAGGAAGGUCCCCCACAUUGGAACUGAGACACGGUCCAAACUCCUACGGGAGGCAGCAGUGAGGAAUAUUGGUCAAUGGACGAAAGUCUGAACCAGCCAAGUAGCGUGCAGGAAGACGGCCCUCUGGGUUGUAAACUGCUUUUAGUUGGGAAUAAAAAGAGGGACGUGUCCCUUAUUGUAUGUACCAUCAGAAAAAGGACCGGCUAAUUCCGUGCCAGCAGCCGCGGUAAUACGGAAGGUCCAGGCGUUAUCCGGAUUUAUUGGGUUUAAAGGGAGCGCAGGCGGCGGCGUAAGUCAGUUGUGAAAUCGUGCGGCUUAACCGUGCAAUUGCAGUUGAUACUGCGUCGCUUGAGUGCACACAGGGAUGUUGGAAUUCAUGGUGUAGCGGUGAAAUGCUUAGAUAUCAUGAAGAACUCCGAUCGCGAAGGCAUAUGUCCGGAGUGCAACUGACGCUGAGGCUCGAAAGUGUGGGUAUCAAACAGGAUUAGAUACCCUGGUAGUCCACACAGUAAACGAUGAAUACUCGCGGUUGGUUCGUUAGAGUCAGCCGCCAAGCGAAAGCGUUAAGUAUUCCACCUGGGGAGUAC
rnacentral:rRNA from 1 species